CUUGACCGAGCCCAGCCACAACGGGCUCUCCCGCUCCCCGGCCCGCCCGUAGGCCGCCAGGAAUGCCUCCGCCUC
rnacentral:antisense_RNA from 1 species